rnacentral:rRNA from 1 species
GAUGAACGCUGGCGGCGUGCCUAAUACAUGCAAGUCGAGCGAACAGACGAGGAGCUUGCUCCUCUGACGUUAGCGGCGGACGGGUGAGUAACACGUGGAUAACCUACCUAUAAGACUGGGAUAACUUCGGGAAACCGGAGCUAAUACCGGAUAAUAUAUUGAACCGCAUGGUUCAAUAGUGAAAGACGGUUUUGCUGUCACUUAUAGAUGGAUCCGCGCCGCAUUAGCUAGUUGGUAAGGUAACGGCUUACCAAGGCAACGAUGCGUAGCCGACCUGAGAGGGGGAUCGGCCACACUGGAACUGAGACACGGUCCAGGCUCCUACGGGAGGCAGCAGUAGGGAAUCUUCCGCAAUGGGCGAAAGCCUGACGGAGCAACGCCGCGUGAGUGAUGAAGGUCUUCGGAUCGUAAAACUCUGUUAUUAGGGAAGAACAAAUGUGUAAGUAACUAUGCACGUCUUGACGGUACCUAAUCAGAAAGCCACGGCUAACUACGUG